rnacentral:rRNA from 1 species
GGGUUGUGAGGUUAAGCGACUAAGCGUACACGGUGGAUGCCCUGGCAGUCAGAGGCGAUGAAGGGCGUGCUAAUCUGCGAUAAGCGCCGGUAAGGUGAUAUGAACCGUUAUAACCGGCGAUACCCGAAUGGGGAAACCCAGUGUGACUCGUCACACUAUCAUUAACUGAAUCCAUAGGUUAAUGAGGCGAACCGGGGGAACUGAAACAUCUAAGUACCCCGAGGAAAAGAAAUCAACCGAGAUUCCCCCAGUAGCGGCGAGCGAACGGGGAGGAGCCCAGAGCCUGAAUCAGCAUGUGUGUUAGUGGAAGCGUCUGGAAAGGCGCGCGAUACAGGGUGACAGCCCCGUACACAAAAGCGCAUGUGCUGUGAGCUCGAUGAGUAGGGCGGGACACGUGGUAUCCUGUCUGAAUAUGGGGGGACCAUCCUCCAAGGCUAAAUACUCCUGACUGACCGAUAGUGAACCAGUACCGUGAGGGAAAGGCGAAAAGAACCCCGGCGAGGGGAGUGAAAAAGAACCUGAAACCGUGUACGUACAAGCAGUGGGAGCACAGGUUUACCUGUGUGACUGCGUACCUUUUGUAUAAUGGGUCAGCGACUUAUAUUCUGUAGCAAGGUUAACCGAAUAGGGGAGCCGGAGGGAAACCGAGUCUUAAUUGGGCGUUAAGUUGCAGGGUAUAGACCCGAAACCCGGUGAUCUAGCCAUGGGCAGGUUGAAGGUUGGGUAACACUAACUGGAGGACCGAACCGACUAAUGUUGAAAAAUUAGCGGAUGACCUGUGGCUGGGGGUGAAAGGCCAAUCAAACCGGGAGAUAGCUGGUUCUCCCCGAAAGCUAUUUAGGUAGCGCCUCGUGAAUUCAUCUCCGGGGGUAGAGCACUGUUUCGGCUAGGGGGCCAUCCCGGCUUACCAACCCGAUGCAAACUGCGAAUACCGGAGAAUGUUAUCACGGGAGACACACGGCGGGUGCUAACGUCCGUCGUGAAGAGGGAAACAACCCAGACCGCCAGCUAAGGUCCCAAAGUCAUGGUUAAGUGGGAAACGAUGUGGGAAGGCCCAGACAGCCAGGAUGUUGGCUUAGAAGCAGCCAUCAUUUAAAGAAAGCGUAAUAGCUCACUGGUCGAGUCGGCCUGCGCGGAAGAUGUAACGGGGCUAAACCAUGCACCGAAGCUGCGGCAGCGAACGUAUCACUUAAAGCGAUUCAGCGGAUGACGAUUGACGGAGCGAAGCGACGUCAAAGCGUAUACAAAGUCGAGUCGGUUUAAGGAUACGUUCGUUGGGUAGGGGAGCGUUCUGUAAGCCUGCGAAGGUGGCCUGUGAGGGUUGCUGGAGGUAUCAGAAGUGCGAAUGCUGACAUAAGUAACGAUAAAGCGGGUGAAAAGCCCGCUCGCCGGAAGACCAAGGGUUCCUGUCCAACGUUAAUCGGGGCAGGGUGAGUCGACCCCUAAGGCGAGGCCGAAAGGCGUAGUCGAUGGGAAACGGGUUAAUAUUCCCGUACUUGGUGUUACUGCGAAGGGGGGACGGAGAAGGCUAUGUUGGCCGGGCGACGGUUGUCCCGGUUUAAGCGUGUAGGUGUGUGUUCCAGGUAAAUCCGGUUCACUUUAACACUGAGGCGUGACGACGAGGCACUACGGUGCUGAAGCAACAAAUGCCCUGCUUCCAGGAAAAGCCUCUAAGCAUCAGGUAACAUCAAAUCGUACCCCAAACCGACACAGGUGGUCAGGUAGAGAAUACCAAGGCGCUUGAGAGAACUCGGGUGAAGGAACUAGGCAAAAUGGUGCCGUAACUUCGGGAGAAGGCACGCUGACACGUAGGUGAAGUGAUUUACUCAUGGAGCUGAAGUCAGUCGAAGAUACCAGCUGGCUGCAACUGUUUAUUAAAAACACAGCACUGUGCAAACACGAAAGUGGACGUAUACGGUGUGACGCCUGCCCGGUGCCGGAAGGUUAAUUGAUGGGGUCAGCGCAAGCGAAGCUCCUGAUCGAAGCCCCGGUAAACGGCGGCCGUAACUAUAACGGUCCUAAGGUAGCGAAAUUCCUUGUCGGGUAAGUUCCGACCUGCACGAAUGGCGUAAUGAUGGCCAGGCUGUCUCCACCCGAGACUCAGUGAAAUUGAACUCGCUGUGAAGAUGCAGUGUACCCGCGGCAAGACGGAAAGACCCCGUGAACCUUUACUAUAGCUUGACACUGAACAUUGAGCCUUGAUGUGUAGGAUAGGUGGGAGGCUUUGAAGUGUGGACGCCAGUCUGCAUGGAGCCGACCUUGAAAUACCACCCUUUAAUGUUUGAUGUUCUAACGUGGACCCGUAAUCCGGGUUGCGGACAGUGUCUGGUGGGUAGUUUGACUGGGGCGGUCUCCUCCUAAAGAGUAACGGAGGAGCACGAAGGUUGGCUAAUCCUGGUCGGACAUCAGGAGGUUAGUGCAAUGGCAUAAGCCAGCUUGACUGCGAGCGUGACGGCGCGAGCAGGUGCGAAAGCAGGUCAUAGUGAUCCGGUGGUUCUGAAUGGAAGGGCCAUCGCUCAACGGAUAAAAGGUACUCCGGGGAUAACAGGCUGAUACCGCCCAAGAGUUCAUAUCGACGGCGGUGUUUGGCACCUCGAUGUCGGCUCAUCACAUCCUGGGGCUGAAGUAGGUCCCAAGGGUAUGGCUGUUCGCCAUUUAAAGUGGUACGCGAGCUGGGUUUAGAACGUCGUGAGACAGUUCGGUCCCUAUCUGCCGUGGGCGCUGGAGAACUGAGGGGGGCUGCUCCUAGUACGAGAGGACCGGAGUGGACGCAUCACUGGUGUUCGGGUUGUCAUGCCAAUGGCACUGCCCGGUAGCUAAAUGCGGAAGAGAUAAGUGCUGAAAGCAUCUAAGCACGAAACUUGCCCCGAGAUGAGUUCUCCCUGAGACUUUAGGUCUCCUGAAGGAACGUUGAAGACGACGACGUUGAUAGGCCGGGUGUGUAAGCGCAGCGAUGCGUUGAGCUAACCGGUACUAAUGAACCGUGAGGCUUAACCUUACAACGCCGAAG